UUAGGGGUUUCUGGUUUUUCAAGAAAUGAAUUUAAUUCAUACGUCUUAUUUAGAGUUUUAUUAUUUGUUUAUUUAUUUUUAUUUGGCGUUAAGAUUGGGAGGGAUUAGCUUCUUAUUUUAUUUUUAUAAUUUUUUGUUUUUUUAGUCUUGUGGGUUUUAUAGUGAUUUUCAAUUUGAUUAUGUUAAAAUUUUAUUUGUUUUGUUCUGUUAUUUUUGUUUAUUUAAUUAUUUAUUGAAAUGUAUUCUUUAUCUUUGGUUUAUGGUUAGUAAUUAUUGUAGAAUUAGUAAAUUUGUUGUUAGGUUGUUUUAUUUGUGUUAAUUUUCUUUGAGGAACUAGGCAAAUUUCAUGUCCGCCUGUUUAACAAAAACAUCUUUUCUCGUUAGUUUUUGAAGUAUGGCCUGCCCGCUGACUUUGGUGUUGAAGGGCCGCGGUAUUUUGACCGUGCAAAGGUAGCAUAGUCAUUAGUUCUUUAAUUGUGAUCUGGUAUGAAUGGCUUGACGAGGCAUGGGCUGUCUUAAUUUUGGAUUGUUUAUUGAAUUUGGUCUUUGAGUUAAAAUUCUUAGAUGUUUUUAUGGGACGAGAAGACCCUAUAGAGUUUAACAUUUGUUAUGGUCCCCUUUCUGUUUGUGAGGGUUCAUUGGGCCGUUUAAUAUGUUUUGUUGGGGUGAUGGGAGGGAUUAAUUUAA
rnacentral:rRNA from 1 species